UACGAGGGGGGCAAGCGUUGUUCGGAAUUAUUGGGCGUAAAGGGCGCGUAGGCGGUGCGGUAAGUCACCUGUGAAAACUCUGGGCUCAACUCAGAGCCUGCAGGCGAAACUGCCGUGCUUGAGUGUGGGAGAGGUGCGUGGAAUUCCCGGUGUAGCGGUGAAAUGCGUAGAUAUCGGAAGGAACGCCGGUGGCGAAAGCGAGCUGCUGGACCUCAUCUGACGCUGAGGCGCGAAAGCCAGGGGAGCGAACGGG
rnacentral:rRNA from 1 species